GACGAACGCUGGCGGCAUGCCUAAUACAUGCAAGUCGAGCGAACAGAUGAAGUGCUUGCACUUCUGACGUUAGCGGCGAACGGGUGAGUAACACGUAAGGAAUCUACCUAUAAGCGGGGGAUAACAUUCGGAAACGGGUGCUAAUACCGCAUAAUAUCUUCUUCCGCAUGGAAGAAGAUUGAAAGACGGCUCUGCUGUCACUUAUAGAUGACCUUGCGGUGCAUUAGUUAGUUGGUGGGUAAUGGCCUACCAAGACGAUGAUGCAUAGCCGACCUGAGAGGGUGAUCGGCCACAUUGGGACUGAGACACGGCCCAAACUCCUACGGGAGGCAGCAGUAGGGAAUCUUCCGCAAUGGGCGAAAGCCUGACGGAGCAAUGCCGCGUGAGUGAAGAAGGCCUUCGGGUCGUAAAACCCUGUUAUAAGAGAAGAACAAAUUGUAGAGUAACUGCUACAGUCUUGACGGUAUCUUAUCAGAAAGCCACGGCUAACUACGUGCCAGCCGCCGCGGUAA
rnacentral:rRNA from 1 species